rnacentral:tRNA from 1 species
AAUUAAUAAGCUUUUAUAGCAUUUUACUUACACUAAAAUCAAUCUAAAAAAUUUUU